rnacentral:misc_RNA from 1 species
GUAUAUAGUUCAUAGGCAAUGACGCCGUUGAAUAACAUUCUGGGUCUUUUUAAAGUGUGGGUUAUACAUAGGCUUGGAACCCAGGGAGAGCUGACCUCUUGCGAGUCCAGCAACCCCCCCAAUCCGACCGAGGCCGAGAGGUAUCCAAGUCUACAGAGGUGCACAGGUGGAAAAGUGGUUUCAACAAAGCGUGCACAUGCUCCUAGGAGCCAGCAGCAACUCUGAGAGAAAUUCAUUAAUGAUCCUUCCGCAGGUUCACCUACGGAAA